rnacentral:lncRNA from 1 species
AACAUACUAGCAAUAGACGGAUCCAUAUGCAUAUCUUGUUCUUUAGAAGAACCCCCACCAGAAACUCCUCCCAAAGAUCCUUCAAAAUUUUUAUUUUCGUUCUCCAUAAAAAUAAAAAUAAAAUAAAAAAAAAUCCAAUACCUUCCACCUCAAGCUUUCACGUCGGGUUCACCACUUAUGUCGUAUUACGUGCUAACUUACUUGAGAACGUGCUGGGCGUCUGGCUGUAGGAGGUAGUAUGGUGUUUCGCUAGUACUCAAGCAGUCUAUCGGGUUCUUGACUACCCAAAUACAAUCUAUAUCGGAUUGCAAUGUAAAAGCUUAAUUCCAAUAUAAAACGCCUAGAGACCCUAUAUAACUUCAAUCUCUUUUGUUAUUUUUAUUUUAUUUUAUUUAUUUUAUAUUUUUUAUUUUAUCUUUAUCGUUAAUUACCUUAAUCCUAGACCAUGAACUUUGGCAAGCUGUGAUCCUCAAUCUGUCCUUUCGACUUGUUGUGAAA